rnacentral:pre_miRNA from 1 species
GUGCUGGGGCCAGAUUGAUGGUUGGCAGCUGGAUCCCAGGGUUGGGCUGCCCAGCCUCUGUGUUCUGCUCAGAAUGCCC